GUGGGGAAUCUUGCGCAAUGGGCGAAAGCCUGACGCAGCCAUGCCGCGUGAAUGAUGAAGGUCUUAGGAUUGUAAAAUUCUUUCACCGGGGACGAUAAUGACGGUACCCGGAGAAGAAGCCCCGGCUAACUUCGUGCCAGCAGCCGCGGUAAUACGAAGGGGGCUAGCGUUGCUCGGAAUUACUGGGCGUAAAGGGCGCGUAGGCGGACAGUUUAGUCAGAGGUGAAAGCCCAGGGCUCAACCUUGGAAUUGCCUUUGAUACUGACUGUCUUGAGUACGGGAGAGGUGAGUGGAACUCCGGGUGUAGAGGUGAAAUUCGUAGAUAUUCGGAAGAACACCAGUGGCGAAGGCGACUCACUGGCCCGUUACUGACGCUGAGGCGCGAAAGCGUGGGGAGCAAACAGGAUUAGAAACCCUUGUAGUCC
rnacentral:rRNA from 1 species